AAGGCUUUGUAUACUAGGACUGACAGGGGCUUUUGCACAGUUGGUACCAGGCGUGUACUCAAAGGUGAAACAUGUCGACGAAGAAACCAGACGAGUCGUAUUUUCUAUAAGAAUCGGAAUCGGACGCUAUAUCUAUCCCUGCAUCAGAUUUCAUUGGUUAGGUGGGCUAGGGUAUGUGAAGAAAACUUGAUCAAUCAGGUCAGCAUGCCGCCAGUUUUUGCCUAUUUGUCCCGUUACAAUUGUCGGAAUACGAAAUGAUAUUGCCUAAUGACUACUUACUACCAUAAGUGGCGCUACGCAGACCAAAUUCAAUAGUGAAAUAAAACUAAAGUUCGAAAAAUA